rnacentral:rRNA from 1 species
GAUUUGAUCAUGGCUCAGAUUGAACGCUGGCGGCAUGCCUUACACAUGCAAGUCGAACGGCAGCACGGGAGCUUGCUCCUGGUGGCGAGUGGCGAACGGGUGAGUAAUGCAUCGGAACGUAUCCUGGAGUGGGGGAUAACGUAGCGAAAGUUACGCUAAUACCGCAUAUUCUGUGAGCAGGAAAGCGGGGGACCUUCGGGCCUCGCGCUCUUGGAGCGGCCGAUGUCGGAUUAGCUAGUUGGUGAGGUAAAGGCUCACCAAGGCGACGAUCCGUAGCAGGUCUGAGAGGAUGAUCUGCCACACUGGAACUGAGACACGGUCCAGACUCCUACGGGAGGCAGCAGUGGGGAAUUUUGGACAAUGGGGGCAACCCUGAUCCAGCCAUGCCGCGUGAGUGAAGAAGGCCU